rnacentral:tRNA from 1 species
GGUUCUAUAGUGUAGCGGUUAGCACUUCGGAUUCUGAUUCCGGCAACCCCGGUUCGAUUCCGGGUAGGACCU